rnacentral:rRNA from 1 species
CGCUUUUGGAGGGGGGUGCGUCCUAUCAGGUAGUUGGUGUGGUAAUAGCUCACCAAGCCUAUGACGGGUAGCCGGUCUGAGAGGAUGUCCGGCCGCAAUGGAACUGAGACACGGUCCAUACUCCUACGGGAGGCAGCAGUGGGGAAUCUUGCGCAAUGGGCGAAAGCCUGACGCAGCAAUCCCGCGUGAAGGAUGAAGCAUUAUGGUGUGUAAACUUCUUUUCUGGUGGAAGACGAAUGACGGUACACCAGGAAUAAGGGACGGCUAACUACGUGCCAGCAGCCGCGGUAAUACGUAGGUCCCAAGUGUUAUCCGGAAUUACUGGGCGUAAAGAGUCUGUAGCCGGGUUUGUAAGUCUGUUUUCAAAUCCUAUGGCUUAACCAUAGAGAGGGAAUGGAUACUGCAAACCUUGAGAUUAUCGGGGGUUGAUGGAAUUUCCGGUGGAGCGGUGAAAUGCGUUGAUAUCGGAAGGAACGCCAAAAGUGAAAGCAGUCAACUACAAUAAAUCUGACGGUCAGAGACGAAAGCUUGGGGAGCAAACGGGAUUAGAUACCCCGGUAGUCCAAGCCGUAAAUUAUGCAUGCUAGGUGUCUUGUUCACUUUAUGUGAGCGGGGUGCCGUAAUCUAACGAGUUAAGCAUGCCGCCUGGGUAGUAUAUUCGCAAGAAUGAAACUCAAAGGGAUAGGCGGGGGAACACACAAGCAGUGGAUUGUCUCGAUUAAUUGGAUAAUAAGCCAAGAAUCUUACCUAGACUUGACAUAUAUUGUGUCCUACGUGACAGUGUAGUAAUCCCGAUUUUGUCGGGAUACGAUAUACAGGUGGUGCAUGGUCGUCGUCAGCUCGUGCCGCAAGAUGUCCAGUUAAGUCUGGGAACGAGCGCAACCCUCGUUGUUAGUUA